rnacentral:rRNA from 1 species
GUGGGGAAUUUUGGACAAUGGGCGCAAGCCUGAUCCAGCGACGCCGCGUGGAGGACGAAGGCCUUCGGGUUGUAAACUCCUUUUGGAGGGGAAGAAUAAAUUGACGGUACCCUCAGAAAAAGCCACGGCUAACUACGUGCCAGCAGCCGCGGUAAUACGUAGGUGGCGAGCGUUACUCUGAAUUACUAGGCGUAAAGCGUAUGUAGGUGGUUAUAUAAGUCUAUGGUGAAAUUUCCUGGCUUAACUGGGAAGGGACAUAGAUACUAUCUGGCUUGAGUGUGGGAAGGGGAGACGGAAUUCCUGGUGUAGCGGUGAAAUGCGUAGAUAUCAGGAGGAACACCGAUGGCGAAAGCAGUCUCCUGGCCCAAUACUGACACUGAGGUACGAAAGCUAGGGUAGCAAACAGGAUUAGAUACCCUGGUAGUCC